CAAAAUGUAGCUUAAAUAAAGCACCCCGCUUACACCGGGAAAAUGUUUGAUGAACCCAAACCAUUUUGA
rnacentral:tRNA from 1 species